AUGACGAAGCGCACCAAGAAGGCUGGAAUUGUUGGCAAAUAUGGUACACGUUAUGGUGCCAGUUUGCGUAAGCAGAUCAAGAAGAUGGAGGUGUCUCAGCACUCCAAGUACUUCUGUGAGUUCUGCGGGAAGUUUGCUGUGAAGAGGAAAGCAGUUGGAAUUUGGGGAUGCAAGGACUGUGGGAAGGUGAAGGCUGGCGGUGCUUACACCAUGAACACUGCCAGUGCAGUCACUGUCAGGAGCACCAUCCGUCGCUUGAGGGAGCAGACUGAAGCAUAA
rnacentral:rRNA from 1 species